GUUUUGUUUAAGGCUUCUGGGACUUUUUCCUUAUACUUCUUAAAUAUGUUGUCCAUGGAUUCCUCACAACUAAGAACCAUGACAUUUUUGAUUUCAUUAACAUAGUCUGGAAAAAUGACAAGUGGUUAGAUGUGUAAGUCAAGAGUACCAAUGCAUACAUGCUAAACUUACAAUAUGAUGGUGCUGAAGAAACAGUUCUUACUACUUCAUCCCCUGAUUUAAAUUUUGGGAACAAGUAAAAAAGCCUUGGCAGAUAGAGAACAGUGAUUACAAGUUACCUGCAAUAUGUACCAAGCCAAGAAAAGUGGGUCAUCUUUGGAUGCCAACCAUUUAAUAUUGAAUGAAAACCUUCGAAUCUAACAAAUCUUCCUAACAAAUUGUGUCCAUUUACUCAGCCUCUCCUUGUCAUUCAUGGGGAAACGAUGUACUGAGACACCCUCUGUGUGUUGACUGUUUGUACAACUUUUUCCGUUGGGCCAACCAGCAACACAAUAUUGUCCUCCUCGACGAUUUUUUGCAGAAUUUUGCCUACUCGCCAUAUUUUAACUUGCGGUGUAUCGUUACGUUGGACUAACUUAAUAAAAAAUUAUUCUCCUUAUAUUAUGUGCGUUGUGAUAAUAUUGCAUGGGUUUUAAAACCACAGACUACGUCAAGGAUGCGACAUCCAUAUGAUAAGAAUGAUAAGUCUAAUCCAGAAGUUUAUAAAAGUAGUAUACAUUGGAUGAUUGGAAAUAAGCGCGUUACAGUUAGUUUCUGA